rnacentral:rRNA from 1 species
UACGUAGGUGGCAAGCGUUGUCCGGAAUUACUGGGCGUAAAGGGCGCCUAGGCGGUUUCUUAAGUCUGCUGUGAAAGACCGGGGCUCAACCCCGGGGCGUCAGCGGAGACUGGGAGACUUGAGUGUCGGAGAGGAGUGCGGAAUUCCUGGUGUAGCGGUGGAAUGCGUAGAGAUCAGGAGGAACACCGAUGGCGAAGGCAGCACUCUGGCCGAAUACUGACGCUGAAGCGCGAAAGCGUGGGGAGCGAACGGG